rnacentral:sRNA from 1 species
CAUGUCUUUAAACUUUUAAGAUGAUCCCUAGCAGGAUUAAAGUCCUCCACGAGCAGGCAGAGAUGAGCUAUUCAGAAAAACAAGGUCAUGCUGCAUUUUUUUUUUUUUUUUGUAAGCACAGGAAUCAACAAAGAGAUGUUAUAUAACUUCUAUUUAUAUCCUACUUGCUCACUAGCUGCAGGCAUACAAGAGUAGCUGAGGAGGGAAUUUAAUGAGCUCUCAGGGCUUGCUCACCUUCCAGAGCUGGUAGGAGCCAGCUUGUUUUUGAAGUGCGUCAGCAAAUGAAACUGGUGGUGGGUGGGUGGUUUGGGUAGGUGGACUGACUUGUUGCUAUGGUUUUUCUUUAAUUCCCCUGUCUCUCAA